GGCCGUGUGGCAAAAUGGUUACUGCGUUGCUUUCCGAUCCCUUCCCGUAAUUUCAAGGCAGAGACUGUGGGUUCGAGUCCCACCAUGGUCG